AAGUGUCUACAUGUGGCCCUUUAAGCUAGCAUAUUUGUUCACCAUUAUUUGGCUUGCAAACAUUCACUUGCUCUGUAGCUAGAAUUCUCGUAAACUAAAAAGAGAAAGCUUACAGUCUUGACGUUAGGCCGUCCACGCCACCAAGAGCAGUCACUUGAGAGCUUCUUCAUACUGUUUCAUACAAAAUCUAGUAGUUUUGCUUUUCUGUUUUCCACAUUGGGAGUAUUUAUAGCAAAAGAUUUUAUCAUGUACCUAAACACUAUCCCAUGCCUAAGAACUCAUGUUCUAACAAUGUACAGGGGUUCUCCAGAGUCGCCACUGAGUACUCUAUGAGACAAUGUGCAGGGUUCUCCAGAGUCGCCACUGAGUACUCUAUGAGACAAUGUGCAGGGUUCUCCAGAGUCGCCACUGAGUACUCUAUGAGACAAUGUGCAGGGUUCUCCAGAGUCGCCACUGAGUACUCUAUGAGUACUGGGAAUUGUCCCAUGCUUCCACUUAGCGUUUGUGAUACUGUUUAUGGAAUUACUAAUAUCUUAGACUUCUAAAGGACUUGUGGAAGUCUGUCAUUCUAAAUGACAGUUUGUCUUCAGUGAUUUUUUUUUUACUGCAGUUUGAUCAGCUCACUUUAAAACACAAAACAGCAACUUGAAGAUGGAAAAUACAAAUGGUUUAAAUUUUGUUGUUGCCAUAGAAAAUAGGGACAGUCUUAGAUUUCUCAGUGAAGCACCCUGUGUAUCAUUACAUGUCCAGUGAUUAUUUUGUUAAAGGCAAAGGGGUCAUGUGAUGUACUAAAUGUAAUUUGCUGUUUCUCAAUGUUUAAAUCAUGCCAAACAAAUCAGCCCGUGCCAUCUAGCCUGUGGUGUUAAUCUUCUACUGAGGACUUGGGUUGGGGUUAAGGGCUUGUACUAUGCACUUUUUAUUAAUGAAUAAAUAGAAAAUGUUAGU
rnacentral:lncRNA from 1 species